AAAAGUGCUCUUACUAUACAGUUAACAUGCAGCUUGUCAGAGAUAUCAUCAGAUCUAAGACAGCAGGGUAAGCAGGGUUGGGCCUGGUUAGUACUUAGAUGGAAGACCAAUGGGAAAACCAGGAGCCACAGUGA
rnacentral:rRNA from 1 species